AGUGAACGCUGGCGGUAGGCCUAACACAUGCAAGUCGAACGGCAGCACAGUAAGAGCUUGCUCUUACGAGUGGCGAGUGGCGGACGGGUGAGGAAUACAUCGGAAUCUACUUUUUCGUGGGGGAUAACGUAGGGAAACUUACGCUAAUACCGCAUACGACCUACGGGUGAAAGCAGGGGAUCUUCGGACCUUGCGCGAUUGAAUGAGCCGAUGUCGGAUUAGCUAGUUGGCGGGGUAAAGGCCCACCAAGGCGACGAUCCGUAGCUGGUCUGAGAGGAUGAUCAGCCACACUGGAACUGAGACACGGUCCAGACUCCUACGGGAGGCAGCAGUGGGGAAUAUUGGACAAUGGGCGCAAGCCUGAUCCAGCCAUACCGCGUGGGUGAAGAAGGCCUUCGGGUUGUAAAGCCGUUUUGUUGGGAAAGAAAAGCAGCAGGUUAAUACCCCGCUGUUCUGACGGUACCCAAAGAAUAAGCACCGGCUAACUUCGUG
rnacentral:rRNA from 1 species